CAGUCGACGCACAGCGAAAGGUGCUUGCACCUUUCAAGUGAGUGGCGAACGGGUGAGUAACACGUGGACAACCUGCCUCAAGGCUGGGGAUAACAUUUGGAAACAGAUGCUAAUACCGAAUAAAACUCAGUGUCGCAUGACACAAAGUUAAAAGGCGCUUUGGCGUCACCUAGAGAUGGAUCCGCGGUGCAUUAGUUAGUUGGUGGGGUAAAGGCCUACCAAGACAAUGAUGCAUAGCCGAGUUGAGAGACUGAUCGGCCACAUUGGGACUGAGACACGGCCCAAACUCCUACGGGAGGCUGCAGUAGGGAAUCUUCCACAAUGGGCGAAAGCCUGAUGGAGCAACGCCGCGUGUGUGAUGAAGGCUUUCGGGUCGUAAAGCACUGUUGUAUGGGAAGAACAGCUAGAAUAGGGAAUGAUUUUAGUUUGACGGUACCAUACCAGAAAGGGACGGCUAAAUACGUGCCAGCAGCCGCGGUAAUACGUAUGUCCCGAGCGUUAUCCGGAUUUAUUGGGCGUAAAGCGAGCGCAGACGGUUAAUUAAGUCUGAUGUGAAAGCCCGGAGCUCAACUCCGGAAUGGCAUUGGAAACUGGUUAACUUGAGUGCAGUAGAGGUAAGUGGAACUCCAUGUGUAGCGGUGGAAUGCGUAGAUAUAUGGAAGAACACCAGUGGCGAAGGCGGCUUACUGGACUGUAACUGACGUUGAGGCUCGAAAGUGUGGGUAGCAAACAGGAUUAGAUACCCUGGUAGUCCACACCGUAAACGAUGAACACUAGGUGUUAGGAGGUUUCCGCCUCUU
rnacentral:rRNA from 1 species